rnacentral:misc_RNA from 1 species
CAAGAACGUUUCUCAUAAUUUCAUCUCAAUUCAAAUGAAUAUGCAAUAUGAUCAAAUGACAGUCAGAAUCAUAAGCCUACAAGGAAACAGACCAAUUAAAUGCCUUGCCGCUCAUCACAAGUAAUCAUCUAGAAAAAGACCCUCUAAACUGCUAUUUCUACUAUUUGUUGAAAUCACUUACCACUUGCCAAUCACACUAUACCACAUCAGGGCAAACACCGUCGUGGCAACCAUCACCUGUGGCAUACGAUGGCAGUAGCAAGUCAAUCUAAAACAAACAAUUUAAGAUAAAUCAAGUCCUCAAACCUUUUUAAUUAGUAAUUUCGACUCCUAUUGCCUCCUCUAAACCUCCAAGGUCUCCUUGCCCUUGUCAACAGUAACCUGUGGAGACCACGACCAGAUAGUGCAGCAGGACCACUAGCCACAGGACGACGCAACUCAUAAUCAUCCUCAUCCAAUGAAUCAAAGUCCAGGUGAAAUCCAUUGCGAUAACGACCACUACUCUGUCCUCGAUUAAAGGACUCCAAAGGAAAGAAAUGAUCAUUCAGAGGCUCAUCCAAAUCAUAAUCAUAACCAUUAAAAAUGCCAUGACGGCCUGGCUCAAUCACAUAAUCCCCCAGCACCACAGCCCCCGGAGAUGACGACAUAAUUGUGCUGAUCACAUCACUUUGCUCCCUCUCACAUUCAAGCUUCUUCCAUUUUUCUUCAAGAACGGGGUCUACAGCUCGAGGUCGUGCCAAGGGAUGGUUGGCCUUAACAUGCUUCCUGAGCUGUUUAUAAUUUCCAACAAAUGAGCACUUAUCCUGCAUGCAGAUUCUUUUUUUGGCAUUGAGAUGCUUCCGGGCUGGUUCCACCACCGUCCAACCCUUCACCUGACCCCGACAGAGUGGGCAUAACAGUUCUGGAAUUUCCAUCUUCUCUUUGGCCUGCCCAUCACCCAAAUGGAAACUUGAAUAGUCUGCUGACCUGUUCAAUUGUUGUAUCACUUCAGUUGGCGUUACUUUGGUAUAGGCUUUUUUGUAUUGUUCAAGACAAUUGGCAAAUCGACGACUAGUGGCACACAUAUAUGGACGACAACCCUUGUUAUAAGAGGAACAAAGAAGGAGCACUGCAUUGUGAGGAAAUUCCAGACAAACAGAACAGGUUGCACCUUCCCAAUCAUUCUUCUCCAAGGCUUUUGGAUUUUUCUUCUUUGAGUGGCAAUCUUUAGCACUCUUCCUUUGGCAAGAUGGCAAAGGAUAUGGAGUCACU